UCAAAUAGUAAUUCAUAGUAGACUAUGAUUCAUAUUAGAAUUUGUCUAGACUAAUAAGUCAAAACAUAUAAAACAACAACAAAUAUAAUGGUAAGAUCUACUUUAUAUGGCGAAAGUUAACACUUAACAGUUAAGAAUAAAAUGUGUUAGUGGUAAUUAAUAAAGGAUUAAAUGCACUUUUAGUACUUCAAAUUUAUCAAUUAUGCGAUUUUGGUCCUUCUAAUUUAAUUUUUUAGGAGCAAUUUUAACCCUCCACAUUUAACCCUUUUUUUUUUAGCCCCCUCACACAUGGUUGGAUUUAUUUGAAGACAUACACCUUUCACGUCUGAUAAUUUCUUCCCCUUUCCAAUUCCCAGCUCAAUCCAACUCCUCCAUCACUACCUGGUGGACACAAAUAAACGAAGAUUCUCUCCCUCAAUUUAUUCAUUCACAAAUUUCCUCUGCAUUUCAUCCUCCCACCCCACCCCACCCCACCCAACCUAGUAACCGUAGUACCACUUCCACUAUCACUCUUUUCUUCAAGCAAGAAUGUGCUGACCUCAACUCCAAAACAGAGAAACUCACCACUCUUGUUGGACAAGUAGCGAGAGCCUACUCCAAUCUCUACGAACAUCCAACUAAAUGGAUCAUCGAAGAAACCAAACAGGCUGAGGUUGAGUUUCUAGCUUUUCUCUCAGGUUAGAUGGAAGAGUUGAUGGAGACCAAGGAAGAGGAGAUGUUGGUGAAGAUGAAGGAGUUGGGUCAAGACGAGAAAUGGAAAAGGAAGAGAUGAAGGGGAGAAAUGAUUAGAUAUGAAGGGUGUAUGAUACUAUCAUGAACUUCAACUAAAUCCAACCAUAUAUGAGUGGGGGACUAAAAAAUAAAUAUGGGAACCAAUAUUGCUCAAAAAAAAGUAAGGGACAAAAUUGCACAAUUGAAAAACUUGAGCUAAAAAUGCAUUUAAACCAUUAAUAAAUUAAUAUGAUCAAAAGUAAAUUUUACUGUGUUACAUCAAAAGUACAUCAGUGCAUCAAUUAUCCCCUCGACAGAAUAUAAUCAAACCAUACAAUCAGAUAACUACAACAACCAAAAUCUUUCCUACUAGACAGCAGUCAGCCACUACAUUGAUCAAACUAUCCCAUAAUGUCUUGGGAACUACAUACAUAAAAAUCUCUAAAAGAUAAAACAUAUAUGGAAAACAUAACAAGAUGCUUCCCUUCAAGUAAUAACCAACCAUAUGAUCUAAAUUUCAAACAUAAUCAUCAUAGGCUAAACGCCAUAAAGAAACAAUGGCAAUUAACCUGAGAAGCAGAACCGCUUGAUUAUGAGGAUUCUUCAUGAUAAAGGUGAAGCCCUAGUCCAAAGCGUGCACAAGCUCUUCGAAACGCCAUUGCUUCUGCCUUCUGUACCGGAUCUCCAUAACUUGUAUCAUCUACUGAAGCAGUACCAGUUGACUCUCUAAAUAUCUACACAAAUAAAUGACAAGAAUGCUGAACAAUUCUUCACCCACAGUUUACUGUCGUGUAAGUAUUCAUCAACCCAAACGAGUAAAUAUUUGGUUCCUCAAAAGUCAUUCAGCUGACUUAUAUGCAUGAUGAGGAAAUUGAGUUGUACAUAAUUUAUAAAUGAAUGAAAGAUAGAUUGGUCCUGCGUACUGAUGGCUCAUGAAGGCAUUGCCACUGUGUGUUUUGAGGAUGGAAGAUAUUAGAUAGAUAGCUAAUUUUCAUUUGAAUCAAGACAAUACCAGGCAAAGCUUAAAGCCAUCAAAAGGCUGUAAAAUGUGAGAAUCAUUAUACUGAUCAGUGUUGUCUAUGGCAGAUGGCGGUCCAUGUCGAAAAGGCCAAUCCCUUAGUUUUUUCCUCCAUGGCCGCCAUCAAGUGCAAAAUGGCUGUGGUAGAUUGUUGAAAUCCUAACAUCGUUUUCUGCCAUAGCUGCCAUUCAAUAAGUGAUACUUUUGAAAAUAAAAGAUUUGAUGUGAGUGUUAGGUAAGCUAUCUAAUUUAUUAAAUCAAGUUUAAAGAUUCAUCAUCAA